GAGUCCAUCUACUUUUUUCCUCCUUCCUGACUCUUACCUGUUUUCUUGGAUAUGAAGGAGGCUAUCGCAGAUCAAGAGAAGGCCCUCUUGUAAUUACAUUUGAAGGAAAGGAUCUAUCAAGAAUAGAAGCUGCUUCUCAGUCGUUGUGCCAGAAAUUUCAUGCCGGUGCAUUCUCUGAAAUUGAGUGACACAUGCAUUUUCCAGACUGUUUCCUAUCGUCAUCCUUUCUUGGCUUGCAUAUCCAAGUUAUAUUUGCCUAAAAUGGCCUCUAAAUCUUGGACAUAUAAAUGCCAAAAAGGAGAUUACAGGUUUAACGACUUCCCCGCGACAAUGAAAUAGAAGGAUGGGCUCACCAGAAAAAGGAAAAAAAAAAAGAUCAAGAGGAAAUAAUCGCCUCAAAAAGGGAAGGGAAAGGAGUAACUUUAUUUUCAGAUUUGACCGCAAUGCGAAUGCCAAUAUUUACUAUUUCAUAAAGUUUAAGACACAAUUACUUAAAGCUUAUUGAAAUUCUGGGAUCUAACAAGCCUUUCUUUGACACA